AAGGCAUCGGCAAGGAGCCAAGGCGGGGUUGUGAAUAAGGCUCCAUCACAGUGAUUGGGUUAACGAGACGCUUGGGGCAAGGUGUGUAUUUGUGCUCUAAUUGCCUAAGAGAGAAGGUGGGGCAGGAAAUCUGGAUUUUUGCAGCUUCUCAGGAAUUCUGGAUUGGAAGACUAUGAGUCGGGCAACGAUUGUAGAAGCCUUCUAGAAGAGGAGCCGCAAGUGCCUCGAAUGUGGAUAACUGUAGCCACCAGACCAGAAAGGUUUUUCAUUCAGGGACGGUUCAAACGAGCAGAGAAAUUACGGAUGUGUGCGAGUGAGAGCGAGUGGUAGUCUCGACUGCUACCAAGAUGGAGAGGUCAGAUUGUAAAACUCUGUUCUUCACAACUCUUUGAUUGUAUUGAUAGAUUGCAAGGAAAAACCCGCUCUGUAGCCAUAGCGCCAUGGCUGUUGCGGGCUUCAAGCCUUGAGCAAUACAAGUUAAUUUUCUUGUA